AAGUCGUAACAAGGUUUCCGUAGGUGAACAACCUGCGGAAGGAUCAUUAACACGUAUCCAACGUUAAACCCCCCUGUGAACCUUCAUUGUGCUCCCCCAUUCCGUUAGGACGCGGCAAUCCCUGGUAAAUCAUCGCCGAACAGUUUUGAUUCAGGGGCGGAAUGGCGCAGUAACGAUCGCUAGAGGCCGACACGGCCGGCGACCGGGUCACUGGGCUCACGCCCCCCUCACCUUUUUUCAUGCAAACGGGCCUGCGCUUAAUUGUGGCCACCAAACUCGAACAACUGUUAACAAUGGAUAUCUUGGUUCUC
rnacentral:misc_RNA from 1 species